rnacentral:misc_RNA from 1 species
UGGUUCUGGCAUCGAUGAAGAACGCAGCGAAAUGCGAUAAGUAAUGCGAAUUGCAGAAUUCAGUGAGUCAUCGAAUCUUUGAACGCACAUUGCGCCCUUUGGCAUUCCGAAGGGCAUGCCUGCCCGAGCGUCAUUAUCAACCCUCAAGCCCAGCUUGCUGUUGGACCGUUCGUCGUUCGCCCGACGGGUCUCAAAGACAAUGACGGAGUCGUGCUGGACCCCUGAUGCAACGAGCUCUCGUAGCACGCAUAAAGGAACCGGCCGCUCUUGGUCUCACCUAUUUAUUUUUUCACCAGGUUGACCUCGGAUCAGGUAGGAAUACCCGCUGA